AAUCCCACCCGUUGUGUCCAUCUAAAGUUUCAUGAGAAAACUGUGCCCACAACAGAGGGCUCCCACUCCUCUGGCUCACUGUAUUUUCUCCUCGUUUAUUUGCUCUUCCCUCUUUCCUGAUGCAUGCAUGGGACCACUGAGCUUCAGGACUCCACAAUUCUCCUUUUCAUACCAGUGUUACUGUAAUCUUGGGUUCAUGGGCUGCCUUGCCACAGAUUUACUCAUUCUGUUUCUGUUAAUUAUUUCAUUACUUAAAAAUCUCUCAUGAAUUUUUCCAGAAGUACAUUCUAUUCCUCAAAAACUUGGAAGCAAUGGGAAAAUAUGCAAUAAAUAACAAGAAAACAUACGUAAUGCAUAGAAUAAAUUAUUAACGUUCCGAUAUGUCUGUUAUCUUACUUACAUUGGCAUGUAUGCGUAUUAGAGUCUCUGGUUGAUGCAAAUGGUUAAUAUCUUGAGCUGCUGACAGAAAGUUGGAGUUCAGGUCCACCCAGAAUUGCUGUGAAAGAGAGGUCUGGCAGCCUACUUCCGAAAACCCAGCCACUGAAACCCCUAUGGAGUACAGUUCUACUCUGGCACACUGGCGUCAUCAUGAAUCAGAACUGACUCAGUGGCAACUGGUUUUAUGUGUGUAUUAGCACACACAUUUAUGUACAUUAACACAGAUAUUAUAUCCUGAUAUUUUCAUUCAUCAUUAGUCUUUUCUCAUGAUAAAUUUUUUUUGUUUUUUUUUAAUGAGGGCAUUAAAUUACUUUAUAAUAUUCUGUGUGCAUGUAGUAUAUGUUUUUUAACAAUUUGAACUAUAGUUGCAAUAAUAAAUGUGCAUGUUUCUAGUAAUCUUCAAUGUAUACUUACAUCUUUUUAACAUACAUCUCUGCCAUUAAAUCUCUUUGUUUAAUUAUUGUUUAACACUCUUUACGCCUAAGAGAUGGUCUCAGAAGCAGCCCUGAUCAGUUUUUCUCCCUCUUACUCAUGAAGCCCCUUAAUGUAUCCCAAGGUAUCAACUACGAAGCAUUUUACGUCCUUAUCAUUUGUUUAUUUUUCAUUCAGUCAGUAUAUUCCAUGGGCCAGAAAUAGUCUAUGUUAUGCAGAUACAGUGGUGAAAGGUACACACUGUCCCUGUCCUCAUGAAGGGGACAACCCAGUGCAGGUGGGAGGAGCACUGGGGAAAUGCAGCUGAGAGCAAGGACAGACAACCCUCCAGGAACCACACUGGACUUCAGAGAGGCUUGUUGGCUGCUGUUCACCUGGCAGGCUUCUAGAUACCAGAGUACCCUUGGGCUUGGUGCCUGCUCCUCUCUCUAUUGACACCCUCCCUGUAGGAUGCCUCAGUGAGUUUACUGCUGUCUAUUUGUAGCUAAGGACGUGAGGUUUAUACCUCCAUCCAUUCAAACUCCUCCUGGGUCCAGACUCAUAUAUUGAAAUGUCAGCCUAACUCUCUGUAUUGACCUCUUUAUGCAUUAUAAUGAUACAUUCCUCAUAUGGCCAUCAUGAAAAGCAAACAUGAAAGGAAAAGCACAGGAGUGCCUGGCACCAGUGUAGGUACUCAAUGAACAUUAGCUGUUGGUAUUAUUCUUGACAUCCCCAUGUGGGGUGAAGUUUUAUUACCUGACAUCUCCAUGUGAAUAUCUAACACCCACACCAUGUUAUCUAGGCUAUGAAACAAUUCUUGGUUCCAACCACCAUUCCAUUCUUAUCGAUGAAUUUCUCAAGGCUUCAGUGAUGGGAUUGUGUGUUUUUCCACACAAUGGACGUGAUUAGGAAUGGUUGGCUAGGUCCUACACAAUAAAUUGCUCCAGCAUUCCUAUGGAUGACCAUUGAGACAAGUUUCAGCCAACGAAUGUAGCAAAGAAUUGGAACCACUCUCAGCUGUUCAUGCGAGUACUCUCAAUCCAGAGUAUCUGGUAAGUCGACUGUUAGGGAUUGAAUUGUGUCCCUCCAAAAUGUAUGUGGAAAUCCUAACCCCGGUACCUGUAAAUCUGACCUUGUUAGGAAAGAGGGGGCCUGCUUUUAUUAUGUGAAUGAGGUCAUACCAAUGUAGGGUGGGUCCUAAGCCUAACUCUUCUUAGUUAUAAAAGGAGCAGAACACACACAGACACAAACAGGUGAAAAGGAAGACAGACAAAGAAGACAGAUGCUUCUAGAAGGCCAGGAACACAAAUGAUUGCUGGCAUCUACUAGAAGCUGAGGUAGACAAGGAAGGACCUCCCACUACAGCCAUGCCCUGAAUUCGAACGACUACCUGCUAAACCGUGAGAAAGUAAAUUUCUGUUCUUUAAAGCCAUCUAGUUGUGAUAUUUUUUGUUAUGGAGGGACUAGGUAACUAACACACAUAACCGUGCUUAUAAGUUCAGCCCAGUGCAGAAUAAUUUUCUUCCCUCCUUGGUCUAGCCCACCCGAACCUGCUCUUUCCCUAUCAGUGUCCUUUGCUUUCACCUAAGAGUUAUGACAGAGUCAGCUCGAUGGUGAUGCAUUGAAAUUUCAAUUUAUUUUAUAUUUAUGAUUAUUAUUAAUUCCAGUAUUUUCUACAGUUUUCAAUGGAGACAGUCUUAUAAUCUAUGAAUAGCAUUUAUACUUUUUCUUUUUUUGUACUAGCUUACACUUCCAGUGUUAAAUGUUUAAUAAAAGUAAUGAUAGAAGCACCCUUAUUUUAUUGUUUAUUAAUUUUAAAGAGAAUGUCCCACACGUCACCAUGAACUAUCAUGCUAGUUGUAGUUUUCCACGUUCGGGAACUCCUUUUCUGUUCCAUGUUUGCUCCUAGCCCUUAUCUCUCCGUGUGAUUGGAUUUUAUCAACCUGCUUUGCCCCCAUCUCUUGAGGUGAGGAUAUGUCUUCUCUUCUUUCACCUAUGCAUGUGGUGAAUGAAAUUACUAAAUCUUUAAUGUUCACUCAAAUUUGUAUGCCUACAAUCAACCGCCUUGAUCAUGGCAUGUUACGUGGUUUAUACUUUGCUGGAUUUCCUUUGCUUGGCGUCUUACGUAGGGUUUUGCAUCUCAGUUACUGAGUGUGCUUGUCCUCUAACUCUUCUUCUACUAUCCUUCUCUAGUUUGUUAUCAAUUUUAAACUAGCCUUAAGGAUCAAGUUAGGGGAAUAUCUCAUGAUUUUCUAAUCUCUGUUGACUACGUACAAGAUUAAAAUGACUGUUUCUUGCAUGUUUGCUGGAACCUGACUGGAAACGAUCUAGGUCUGCCGUUUUCUUUGUAGGGAGAUGUUGAACUACUGACCCACUUUAUUUAGUGGUUAAAGGCAUCUUCUGGUGCUAAUUUACUUAGAAAAAAUUCUGAUGCAUGUUCUAGGGUGCUCGAAUCUCAUCUUUAAAUAUUGAUUAUCAGGGCUUGUAGCCUCAUGCAAGCCAAUUCAUCAAUCCCAGAUUUCCCCAAAGUCAGGCUCUGCAACUCUUCCCGGUACCAAAUUCCCUCAUUUAAGACUUAUUUGCAAAGAAAGAGACAACAGUAUGCUAUCUACGCAGUUGUGUAUCCGCAGCCUUCUUGAGUCCAUAUUGUGAGGAUACAGUCUUCUAAUACUUUUUUUGUAAUUGUUCUUUUUCUUAUUUUUUUUUUCCUUUUUUCACUGCCAAUACACCCCCUCCCCCAAUCUAGUAGUUUUAAAGUUGUGCGUUUCAGGUUCAAGUCUGUAAUCCAGCUGGGCUUCUGUUUGUGCUGCAUGUGUGCAUCAAAAGAACGUGCUUCUAGAAGUAGAAAGCAGGCAGUGAGACUGUUGGGUGGUUGGCGGGGUAGGGGGAGGGGAGCUGCUGCUCAGAGGGGGCGCCCGAGGGAGGCACGAGAUGCCGGGCUGCCCACCGCAAGCCCGCAGACUCCAAGGAGGUGGAACCUGCGUGCGCCAUGAGCCUUUUGAGACAGGCCCAAGCCCGCCCAGCCGGGUGCUUGCAAGUUCCACCAGGACUAGGGGAAGCCUAAGGCCAAGGAGGGCAAGGUCUAGGGUCUGGACCUGAGAACUGGUUCUGCCACUUGUGAUCGCAGAGCUUAUGCUGGAAAGGAGGGCAGGAAGCAUAUCACAAUGUGUGUCCGGAGGAUGACCCAGAAGGGCGGGAGUUGUGGUCACCCAGGGACUCUGGGUCUGCAUAUGGAGGCCCCCAGGGUGCAAUUCCAGGAGCAGAAGGCAAAGCCACAGAGGCCAAAGUGCACCUCGCCAAUGCUUCCCAGGGGCAUUGCCCCAAAUAUGGGGAGCAGUCCCUACUCUGGGCUAGGGACUUUGUUUCCUCCAUUCUCAUCACUGACUGUGAGCAGACUCUAGUCUAUGCAGACUAAUGAGGAGUUAUCAAAAUGAGCUCCAAACUCCGGAUUUGAGUUAAGGAUCAUAAACUAACAUAGAGAAAUACGACUUUAGCAAUAAGUGACUGUUUGAAGCCCAAGUUGCCUUAAAACACAGAAUUUCAGUCUUUCAGCUCCUCUGCUAACGUAAUAACUAAGAACAGAAUCUCACUGGAGCUCAAAGAUGUGGGGCACUGGGAAUACUCCUGGGUCUGUCUGCUCACGGCUGAUUGCCUGAUUCCCAGUUUUAUUAUACAGCUUAAAUACAGACCAGAAGAGGAGUUUGGGGCUUGACAUCUGACAUCUUAACACCAGUUCCUGUUUCUUGAGGAAGGAAGAGGUAAAAUAAAUCAGCGUUUACUGUGUCCUUCUCCAUCCCCGGAAGUCCUUGUGAAGACCCUCUCAGAAUGACUAGACCUCCUGCAGAAUGACUAUAUUGUGCCUCCCUUGGGCACCCCUGUCUGCGCAGCACCCUCCGCCCCCAACUGCCCAACCGCCUCUCUCCUGGCAUUCUGCUUCUAGAAGUAUGUUCUUUUGAUGCAGAGAUGCAACACACACAGAAAUCCCAGCUGGAUUACAGACUUGAACCCGAAGACCUUAUGCAGAAUGACUAUUUAUGAACCACUAAACUCAGUACUAAAGCAGCUUCAACUUGAACGUGAAUAUGAGCAACUGAUCGUCUGUUCUGCAGUCAGCCCCUGGCCUGAUUCUGACUCAUGAUAUUGACCUUCUCCAUCAUCACCUUCCACAAAUUUGAUUCCUGUCUAUUCUGCCUGGAAUGGUUCAUAAGUAUAGUCACCGUUUAUGUUCCUGAUGAAAGGUAUGUGCAAUGAAUAAGUCACUGGUCUUGCCAAAUUCUAUCAUGUAAGCUUCAUUGUCAUUUCUAUCAUCAAUACCUUAUUUUCCAACUGCUGAUUUGUCUGCUUUGUUUUCAACUUCGCAUUCUAAAUGAUUGAUCAAUGCAUCACGUUUGAUCAGUUUCAAACUGUAUAACUUGGUAAAAACCUUCAACUUGUUCAUCUUUCACAUUCAUGAUUUGUGUGUAAAUUUGAAUAAUAGUCUUAUUAACUGGUCGUCCUGGUAGGCCUGUGGAUAUUAUCCUAUUGCUUGUAGUGUUGUACUUCAGAAAAGAUCUUGAUAUGUUCUUUUUAUCGAUGAAUAUGAUGCCGUUCUCUUUAGUAUCUCAAUCCUGGCAUAGUAGAACAUAUCAUUGUCUAGUUUAAAAUGUCCAAAACCAAGCUAUUUCAGCUCACUAAUGCCUUGGAUUACUGACCUUUAUGCAUUCCAUUUCAUUUUUGAUGACUUCCAAUUUCCCUAGAUUCAUACUUCCUUCAUUCCACAUUCUGAUUAUUAAAGGAUAUUUGCAUCAGUUUCUUCUCAUUAUGAGUUAUGCCCCAUCAGGAAAUGUCAUUAAAGUGGGAUCUACUUUGAGGAGGUAGCUCUUCCCCACUCGUAUUUUGAGUGCCUUCCAACCUAAGGGGUUAUCCUCUGUCAUUCAAUCAGACAGUGUUCCAGUGCUAUUUGUAAGAUUUCACUGGCCAGUUUUUUUUAGAAAUAGAUCACUAGGUCCUUUUUCCUAGUCUGUCUAAAUCCAGAGCUCCACUCAAAGCUGUCUACCAUGGGUGAACCUGGUGGUAUUUGAAAUACCGGUGGCAUAGCUUCUAACAUCACAGCAACAUGCAAGCCACCACACUACAACAAACUGACAGAAGAGUGGUGGGAGUUAAAAAUGAGAAGAACCAAAAAGAGUGCUUCUUCCAUGUCUGCUGAUUUAGAGGAACCAUGAAAAAUUGUCAAGUGAAGAGUGAUUCAGAGAAAAACAUGGGUAGAGUGUGACCUAAUUUCCAUAAAAACAAACAAAUGAAUGUCCUUACGUGUGUCCCGGCAAAAAGCAGUGUGUAAAAGGGUACAUGUGUAUCUUUGGACACUGGACACUUCAGGGGAGCUGGUACAAUAUACUUAUGUGGGGCUGGCUCUUAUUAUAACUUCUGUAUACAAAUCUCUAUUGUUAAAUGUGUUAUAAGAAUGUAAAACCUUUUAAAGUUAAUAACAUCAUACGUGUAUGUGUGUGUAUUUGAAACUUUUUUUCUGUUUUGACUAUUUUAUAUAUGUGUUUUUUAGUUAUCUAGUGUGGCUAUAGCAGAGAUACCACAAGUGGAUGGCUUUAACAAACAGAAGCUUAUUCUCUCACAGUUUAAGAAGCAAGAAGUUUGAAGUCAGGGCACCAGCUCUAGGAGAAAGCUUUCUCUGUUUGUGGCUCUGGGGGAAGGCCCUUGUCAUCUAUCUUCCCCUGGCCUAGGAAAUUCUCAGCGUGUGGACACUGGGUCAAAAAGACGU